rnacentral:tRNA from 1 species
GGGGCUGUGGCUCAGUGGUAGAGCACUUGCCUUGCAUGCGUGAGGCCCUGGGUUCAAUCCUCAGCACCA